GUCCGGUGAAGUGUUCGGAUCGCGGCGACGUGGGCGGUUCGCUGCCGGCGACGUCGCGAGAAGUCCACUGAACCUUAUCAUUUAGAGGAAGGAGAAGUCGUAACAAGGUUUCCGUAGGUGAACCUGCGGAAGGAUCAUUGUCGAGACCCGAAAGACUUGCGAACCUGUUUAAAAACAACGGGGAAUGAGUGGGCUGGGCUUAGCCGCCUUUCCUUCCUCAUUCCCCCCUGCGAUCGAGCAGGCGUGCGCGGAGCUCUCGGGCAACGUGUUUGUCUGCUCGUCCAGAAACGAACCCCGGCGCGAACCGCGCCAAGGACGAUUGAACGAGCCUGUGCACGUGCCUGCCCGUCUUCGGAUGGUGUUGGCGUGCACGUCUCUUGAAUGAGCAAACGACUCUCGGCAACGGAUAUCUCGGCUCUUGCAUCGAUGAAGAACGUAGCGAAAUGCGAUACUUGGUGUGAAUUGCAGAAUCCCGUGAACCAUCGAGUCUUUGAACGCAAGUUGCGCCCGAUGCCAUUAGGCUGAAGGCACGUCUGCCUGGGCGUCACGCAUGGCGUCGCCCACUCACCCCGUGCCUCUGUGGGCGGAAGGUGUGUGAGCGGAUAUUGGCCCCCCGUUCACGUUCGUGCUCGGUCGGUCUAAAAUGAAAGUCCCCAACGACGGACAUCACGGCGAGUGGUGGUUGCCAGACCGUCCCGACGCGUCGUGCAUGCUGUUCUUUGUCGUUGGCCGGCUCAUCGACCCCCGAGUACCGUCAGGUACUCGGUACCUCGACUGCGACCCCAGGUCAGGCGGGAUCACCCGCUGAGUUUAAGCAUAUCAAUAA
rnacentral:rRNA from 1 species